rnacentral:rRNA from 1 species
GUCUAGAGGAGAGGGUAGGGACGUCGGAUCGAGAGAAAGAGAGUCGCUCGGGUUCGACGAGAGAGGAGUAGGGGACGUUGGGUUGGGAGAAAGAGAGGUGCUCGCGGAGAGGGGAAGGGACAGGUACUGGAAGGGUAGGGCCAGCCGCCUCGACGACAACGAUGCUUCCAGCCGCCACGACGUUUUGCGGCCGCUGCUCUAGAGGCGCCGCUGUAGUGAGGACGUAUGGGGCGAAGUAGGGCCGCAGCCUCAACGUUACCUGCGAAGUGCGCCUCGGCAGCCCCAACGAAACCUCGAGGCGGCCCGACGUUACCUCGAACCGGCCUCAACGUUACCUCGAAGCAGCCUCAGCAGCCACAACGCAACCUCGAGGCAGCCCCGACGUUACCUCGUACCGGCCUCAACGUUACUUCGAAGUGGCCUCGAACCUCGAGGCGGCUUCGACGUUACCUCGAACCGUCCUCGACGUUACCUCGAAGCGGCUUCGAAGCCACUACACAACCUUCGAGGCGGCCUCAACGUUUCCUCAAGCGGCCUCGCAAUCACGACGCCAACCUCCAGGCGACUUCGACGUCACCUCGAGUGACCUGCGGCAGUCACCGAGCCACGAUGCAACCUCAGCCAGUCCCGACGUUACCACGACGCGAGUUCGACAGUGUGAUCUGCGACGACACUGCAACGACAGUAGGUUACCGGUCGUUACGCGAUUAGCCUGCCGACUUAUCCGCUUAAAGAUUAGUAGGCCGAAUAAACAUCGUGAGCGGUAACAUUUUUGGUGGACGGCGCUUGGGUUCGAUAACGAUGUAGGUGGAAGUGGUAAGUUGUGGCUUAAGACAAGAGUUUUGGGGUUGCGGGGGUUUUGCCGUUUGCGAGGCAUGGCGUAAGAGCCGCAGUAGCAGCAGCGGUACCGCCCGCGGCCGCCGUCCUCGUCCCUCGCCGAGUGCAGCGCGCGCCUCCUCCGGCGCACCCCGUUCGCCGCCUCCGUCUCCACCCUCCACCUCAAGCGCGCGAUGAAGCGCUUCGGCGCCGCGCGGGGGAGCUGCGGCGGCGGGGGGCCGGAGGCGAUGUAUAGGGCGCCGUUCGUUGAGGUGGUCCCGUGGACCGAGGACCGGCGUAGGGGGCGGCGGGAGACGUAGAGAGCCGGGUGGGUGAGGAAGCGGCGGGCGCAGGAGUGGCAGAGGUAGCCGCUGCAGCAGAUGCUCCUCGUGAUACACAGAUAGGAGUUGAAGAGUACCGGUGUCCAACGUACGCACUGUCUCACGGGUCAAUCUCCCUCGUCCCACCACAAGCACUCGAAAACACUAUCCAGGUUUGUCCAGGUCUUCAAACGACAUGCAAAGGGAGCAGAGUCACUACGUCUUAGUAAGAACUUAUCACACUUCCUUGAGAGUUCGUUGUGGUACCUAUAGUACGGUAGACCUUCGCUGAUAUAAGGAAGAUUACCUGAAGUUAUGUCCGGACUACUUCGCCAUUCGAAACUCCUCGGUUGAAGACUAGUGUCCUGUCUACGUGGACGACAACCGAUGGUGUACCUUGGUCUAGUCGGACAAGAAGUUAGAGGGUAACGAUGUUUAUAGUUAUCGUAGAUGAGACCAAAAGGGCUCCCAAUGAGACCGAAGGGACUCCCGAUGAGACCAAAGCGACUCCCAAUGAGACCAAGUCAAUUUUAACUCUCUCUACCUCCUGGGAAAGGUCGUUGAUAUUGACUAGUACGAGGACUUUUCCGGAUGUAUGACCUGUGAGCCGAACUACGACGACCACCUUUAAGCCAACGACUAUUUCCUUUCCCACGACCAUUUCUCUAACUACAAUCACUGCAUUGUGCACUAUAAAACCGUCCCUAUCUCUGUAUACACCCCCUGCUGAGAAAAGUACUAUACGACAGGUUCGAGCUGUUUCGGUAACUACUUGACCCACCACUGUACAACGAACGGAGAACUUGCGGCGACUUUCCAGAAUGAACGGAGACUGUUAUACAUGUUUACAUUACCAUCAAGCGGAAUCAUACGGAUUAUAGGUACAGUCCAGACGAGGAUGUUCUUUAUGGAUUCUAAUAGGAAAUAUCGAUGUCAGGUCUACUAUUGUAACACCCUAAUCGGUCGUUAUACUACAUACGAAAGAGACUACAUGAUCGUGCAUCGUAACCAGCAUCAAGCUGUCAACUGCUUAAUAAUUAGGUCUUCGAAAUCUGGACCCGCAGGAACUGACAAAGACAUCCGAACAAUAAAGUUUAACUCCCAUGCGAGAAACAC